ACGCGGUAGUCGCUUAACUCUCCUCUCCCACAUCGGCAAAUGAGGCAGCUUUUUUCCAAUAGACAUAGACCGCCAUGGAAGCAGAGAGUGUCCCUUCGGGGACAUCCGAUAAAAUUGGAACGAUACAGAGAAGAUUAGCAUGGCCCCUGCGCAAGGAUGACACGCACAAAUCGAGAAAUGGUCCAAAUUUUUUUUAAACCAAAAAUCUGGGAAUUUAAUCUGCUUUUCUGCUAAAUUUUUUUGUGAUUUCCCACUUCCUCUGAAUUGAAUUUGGCAUCCUGUUCGUCAAUCCAAUCUCCUGAUGAGGGACUUAUUCAAGAUGCCAUCAUUAACAGGCCUGUGUAAAUUCCAAUUUUGUUAAUCGUAUAAAGGUAAUGAUUGAAUGAAUUUGUGGAUUAUAAUUUUGAUAAACUUCUAGCUGAUUAUGCUACAAAUUGGAUUGAAUAUUCCGGUUGUUUUUCCCCCAAUAUUUCAACAAAAUUGUCUGCUACUUUGUUGGGAUUUUCCACUUAUUCUUAGAUUCCUUUGGUGUUUUCAAGGAGUUCCUCAAUAGACUAAAACUGGGUUUUGAUUCCUUGUAUCAUUUUGUUUGUUUGUUGUGGCAAGUAUACAAUGCAAUCACGACUCAGACUGCCUUUUAUAACAGCUCUCUCUUUUUGUUCUGCUUCCUUUAUGCUUUCUUUGUGCUAUCACUAUAGGGUUUAAAAUUUCUCAAAUUACAGAAGAAAGCCAAAUCAGACCAUCUAUCCCUGCAUUUCUUGUUAAAUAUGCAUGGUGUGGCUGUUCAUUUGGACUCAAGGAGUGUUCUAGCCAACCAAUUGUUACUUCAACAGAUUAAUAGAAGGUAAAAUAUAUGUAAUCGGGGCAACCCCAAGUCCCCGACAAAGUUGGUCAGACUUUUGACUUGCUUGGUAACCAUUUGAGUUCCUCAACCUUAUACGUGAGAGUGUCCCUUCGGGGACAUCCGAUCAAAUUGGAACGAUACAUAGAAGAUUAGCAUGGCCCCUGCGCAAGGAUGACACGUACAAAUCGAGAAAUGGUCUUUUUUUUUUUUACCUCAGAAAUCCUGACAAUUUAAUCUGCUUUCUUGCUAAUUUUUGGUGAUUUUCCACUUCUGAAUCCAAUUUGGCCUGCUUUUUCCUCUCUAUCCAAUCUACUGAUGACAGGAUUUCUUCAAGAUGCAUGCCAUCAUUAACAUUUAACAGGCCUGUGCAAAAUUAUAAUUUUGACAACUUCUACUGCUUAUGCUACAAAUUGUUUGCUAAUUGUUUGGGAUUUUCCACUUAUUCUUAGCUACUCUUAGACUCGUUUUGUGUUUUAAAGCAGUUCCUCAAUAGACUAAAACCUGGUUUUGAUUCCUUGUAUCAUUUUUUUUUUUGAGGUUCGAAUUCUUUCAAAUAGUUGCUCAGUUGUGUAACACUCAAAUCUUAGGAUUUUUGGUUACUUUAAUAAUUGGGUUUAAUUUGGUUUAUUUGUUACUUUUUCCAGUUGAGUCGAGUGUUGUGGUAGAGGUAUGUUUGGCUAUUUGGGUUUAGCUUUAAUGGUUUAAGUUAGGCAGUAUAAUUCAGCUGUUAACUUGUUUCUGGUUUAGUAUGUUCUUGAACAGCUAAAAGAAAAUAUCGUUUAUUGCACUAUUAAAUAUCAUGAGCUUUUGUUAUUUGGAUGCUGAAUUGCAUGCCAACAAGAAUAGCAGAAUCAGCUUAGCAAAAUCUUUAUGAGUAGCUUAUUUUGUGAAUUAUAUAUAUGCUUAUUGUAAAUUAAUGAUCACCUUUUAAAGUGCAAGCCCAAAUGCAUCACCUUAUUCAUGAGGUAGAAUUUAAGUCUGCCUGUCCAAAUCAAAAAACCCGAAAAAAAGAAAGCCCCCUUUCAUUCUGUAACUUGGAGCUUCAAGUAGUGUUUCAGCUACCAUCCACUUCGAUCUGCUCUAUACAACUGAUCGAGCAUGUUUCGACAUUUAGGAAUUUCCAUGGUUUCUCAUUCGAUUGAGAUGCAUAACGCCCAACCAAAUUGAUGAUCAACUAGAUUCAACAGCUCCUGUGCAACGUAACGCAAGCCUGCUGCAUCUGAGUUCCUCAACCUUGUACAUAUGAUGCCCGGAUUCCUGCUGGCAAUGUGUUCUUACAGACAA